rnacentral:rRNA from 1 species
GAUUCCCGUGAAGUAAAGAAAACAACUGCGAUUACCCCAAUAACGGCGAGUGAAGAGGUAACAGCAAAGAUUUGCAAUCUGGCCCCCCUUGGGGGCCCGAGUUGUAAUCUGCACACGGCAAGUCCGGCAAGCCUCCCGCCCAGUUCCCUGGAACGGGACGCCAUAGAGGGUGACAGCCCCGUGUGGCGGGCUGGCGAGCCGAUGUGACUGCCCUUCGAAGAGUCGCAUAGUUUGGGAAUGCUGUGCAAAGUGGGAGGUAUGCUCCUCCUAAGGCUAAAUACAGGCCGGAGACCGAUAGCGCACAAGUAGAGUGAUCGAAAGAUGAAAAGCACUUUGAAAAGAGGGUUAAACAGUACGUGAAAUUGUUGAAAGGGAAGCGCCCGCAACCAGACUCGCGGCCGGCGGAUCAUCCUGCCUCUCGCAGGUGCACUCUGUCAGCCGCGGGCCAGCAUCGGUUGGGCCCGCCGUGCAAAGGUGCCAGGCAUGUGGCCCCCUUUGGGGGGUGUUAUAGCCUUGUGCCCGUAAUGCGGUGGGCCCGUCCGAGGACCGCGCCUUUUAGGCAAGGAUGCUGGCGUAAUGGUCGUCCGCGGCCCGUCUUGAAACGAGGACCAAGGAGUCGUCCUCGCGCGCCAGUGUGCGGGUGUUAAGCCCCUGCGCGUAAUGAAAGCGAACGCUGGUGGGAGCCUCGGCGCACCACCUACCGAUCCUGAUGUUCUCGUAUGGAUUUGAGUAAUAGCGUGCUGGGUCAGACCCUAUGAUAGGGUGAGCUAUAUUUGACUAGGGCUAACCUAUGGGAAUCUUGGUU